rnacentral:misc_RNA from 1 species
UCAAACUUGGUCAUUUAGAGGAAGUAAAAGUCGUAACAAGGUUUCCGUAGGUGAACCUGCGGAAGGAUCAUUAACAAAUAGUAUUGGUAUAUUAGUGGGCAAUCAAAGCGGGCGGAAGCGUGUGAGCGCGUAAGCGUGAGCGUAAGCUGAAGCGAGCGAGUGAGCUGAGUGUUGAGUGUGUGUGGUUGUAAGCGUGAGUGUGAAGCGUGAGUGAGCGUGUAAGCGUGAGUGUUAAGCCUGUGUGCUUUUAAGCGUACAGCCUUAGUCUACCGCUAACAAGCCUUACAACCACUCAACACAAAGCACGGCUCAUAGUAACCGAGUUUAUAGUGGGAAUGAGUACAAAAUAGCAUAAAACUUUUAACAAUGGAUCUCUUGGCUCUCGCAUCGAUGAAGAACGCAGC